GCGGCGGUGGCGAAAUUGGUAGACGCAACAGGUUUAGGUCCUGUCGCCUUCGGGUGUGGAGGUUCGAGUCCUCUCCGCCGCACCA
rnacentral:tRNA from 2 species